rnacentral:pre_miRNA from 1 species
UAGGUAGUUUCAUGUUGUUGGGGCUAUCGCUCUCUCUCUCUACAGCACGAAACUGCCUUAA